rnacentral:rRNA from 1 species
AAAGAUUAAGCCAUGCAUGUAUAAGUAUAAACGCUUUAAGCGUGAAACCGCGAACGGCUCAUUACAACAGCUAUAAUUUACUUGAUCUUGACAAACUUACAUGGAUAACUGAGGUAAUUCUUGAGCUAAUACAUGCACCAAAGCUUUGACCGUAAGGGAAGAGCGCAUUUAUUAGAACAAAACCAAACGGCUUCGGCUGUUCCCAGUUGAAUCAGAAUAACUCAGCUGAUCGUACGGUCUUGCACCGACGACGUGUCUUUCAAGUAUCUGCUUUAUCAACUUUCGAUGGUAGGGUAUCUGCCUACCAUGGUGGUGACGGAUAACGGAGGAUCAGGGUUCGACUCCGGAGAAGGGGCCUGAGAAAUGGCCACUACGUCUAAGGAUGGCAGCAGGCGCGCAAAUUACCCACUCUCAGAAUUUGGAGGAGGUAGUGACGAGAAAUAACGAGGUUGAUCUCUUCUGAGGCCAACCAUCGGAAUGGGUACAAUUUAAACCCUUUAACGAGUAUCUAUGAGAGGGCAAGUCUGGUGCCAGCAGCCGCGGUAAUUCCAGCUCUCAAAAUGCAUAGAAUUAUUGCUGCGGUUAAAAAGCUCGUAGUUGGAUCUGCAGCCGGAGCUCCGGUCUAUCUCCGGAUAUGUACUGGAUGUCUUCAGCUUUCUGACAGUGUUCGGCUCUGUGCCUCUAACCAGGUGUGGAUGUCCGAUACUGUAAGUUUACUUUGAAUAAAUCAGAGUGCUCUAAACAGGCGUUUUGCUUGAAUGAUUGUGCAUGGAAUAAUAGAAGAGGAUUUCGGUUCUAUUUUAUUGGUUUUAUAGACUGAGAUAAUGGUUAACAGAGACAAACGGGGGCAUUUGUAUGGCUACGUGAGAGGUGAAAUUCUUGGACCGUAGCCAGACAAACUACAGCGAAAGCAUUUGCCAAGAAUG